rnacentral:rRNA from 1 species
AUUGAACGCUAGCGGGAUGCCUUACACAUGCAAGUCGAACGGAGUGGCGAACGGGUGAGUAAUGUAUCGGAACGUGCCCAGUAGCGGGGGAUAACUACGCGAAAGCGUAGCUAAUACCGCAUACUAUUGAAGCGGCCGAGAGCGGAGUAGCUAGUUGAUGGGGGAACGGCUCACCAAGGGGACGAGCCGUAGCUGGUUUGAGAGGACGACCCGCCACACUGUGACUGAGACACGGCCCAGACUCCGACGUGAGGCAGCAGUGGGGAAUUUUGGACAAUGGGGGAAACCCUGAUCCAGCCAUCCCGCGUGAGCGAUGAAGGCCUUCGGGUUGUAAAGCACUUUUGGCAGGAAAGCGGUACCUGCAGAAUAAGCACCGGCUAACUACGUGCCAGCAGCCGCGGUAAUAC